rnacentral:rRNA from 1 species
GACGGGGGGUCCUAGCGUUGUUCGGAAUCAUUGGGCGUAAAGCGUGUGCAGGUGGUUUUGCAAGUUAGAUGUGAAAGCCCCGGGCUUAACCCGGGAAGUGCAUUUAAAACUGCAAAACUUGAAUAUGGAAGAGGGUCGUGGAAUUCCAGGUGUAGUGGUGAAAUACGUAGAUAUCUGGAGGAACACCGGCGGCGAAGGCGGCGACCUGGUCCAAUAUUGACACUCAUACACGAAAGCGUGGGGAUCAAACAGG